rnacentral:rRNA from 1 species
UGGGGAAUAUUGGACAAUGGGCGGAAGCCUGAUCCAGCCAUGCCGCGUGUGUGAAGAAGGCCUUUUGGUUGUAAAGCACUUUAAGCGAGGAGGAGGCUCUUCUAGUUAAUACCUAGGAUGAGUGGACGUUACUCGCAGAAUAAGCACCGGCUAACUCUGUGCCAGCAGCCGCGGUAAUACAGAGGGUGCGAGCGUUAAUCGGAUUUACUGGGCGUAAAGCGUGCGUAGGCGGCUGAUUAAGUCGGAUGAGAAAUCCCUGAGCUUAACUUAGGAAUUGCAUUCGAUACGGGUGAGCUCGAGUAUGGGAGAGGGUGGUGGAAUUCCAGGUGUAGCAGUGAAAUGCGUAGAGAUCUGGAGGAAUACGGAUGGCGAAGGCUGCCAUCUGGACUAAUACAGACACUGAGGUACGAAAGCAUGGGGAGCAAACAGG